CGGGCCAGCUGUCACCAUGAAGAAAUUCUUCCAGAUCGUCAAGGCUGACAUAGAGUUCAAGAGAGCGGGGCCCAGUCAGAAGCUCACAGACUCCGUGGGGUAACUGAGGCCAAAGAGGAAGGCUUAACCCACCUGGCUGUACCUACUCUGAGGAAGGACCAACGGGAUGCCUGCAUCAGAGAGGCCAUUCUCUUGGGAAGAACCCAGAGGAGGGGGCCUGAGACCUCCAGGAGUGGCUGGAGAGCCAGAGGCAUGUCCUGAAACCCAAACCCAGGGAAACGGAGCACCUCCUGUGUCAUCAUCGAAUGGUGACUGUCAAUGUAAAAGAGAAGUCCCAGGACAGAAGCCAGGUGAAAGAAGGUGCGGUUGGCAUUUCCCCAAGCAUGGAUGGAUACCUGUGGCUGUGGAGCACUUCCCGCACCAGAAGACAACACAGACUCGGGGUCGGUGGGCUGCCGCCCCCAGCUGCAGAGGAGGAAAAGAGACAAGUGAAAACGUGAAGAAAAGGGUGGGUGCCACGGGGGCAGGACCUCCCCCGCCCCUCCCAGCACUGGAUAUUGCUUUCUUUCCCAACCAUUAGAAAUGUGGUGGGUGGAAAAACUUCCUUUGUUUUUCUUUGUUUGCAAGUGAAGUUGACUUUCUCUUUAUGGGGUGUGUGUGGAGUACACUCAUUGCCACAUUUCUCUCGUGUGACCUGCCUGUUUGCAUCCUUCGUCCAUCUUUCUCAUCGGCUGGCAUGGACUCUUUGCACCCUGACUUCUGUGCUGGGCUACGCAUCCUGCAUGCCCUUUCCAUGCUGUGUCUUGCAAGGUGGUGUAUCUCUGAAAGUUUUGUGGGUAUUUGCACACUGUUGGGUGCAGGUUCACGUUUCUAUAGUUGGAGUCUAUUCUUGAAUUAACGCUGGCAAGAAAAGAUCUUGUCACCCAGGGGUGAUGAGUCUGUCUCCCUUGGCAUCUUCACCGGAUGGGCUGGGAGCACCUGGGCUUUACCAUCUCUCCCUUGCGGGUGGGUGAGCAGAGAGGAGCAUUGGGCAGUUGAAAGCCCUGGAUGACAGGGACGUGGUGAUGAGGGCUUAGACUGGCUUGUACUGAGAUCUCGCAAGAGGUGGAGAGUCUCUGGGCCUCCCCUAAAAAGCGAGGGGAUAAUGUCCAGGGGGUGACACUGGCAAUAUCCAGAAGGCACCUGGGGGGACAAGCAGGCUGGAGCAGAGGUGAAGGGACUUGUCUUCCCGCGCUGUACUUCUCUGCCCACUUCAGCUUUUACCCUGCACGCAUUUGUGGACUCCCCUGUAUGUUAUUAUGAAAAAUUUCAAGCACACAGAAAUGCUGCGUGGCUCAGACAUGAGCAUCCUACACACACGCCUGCAGUCGACCUCUAACUCCUGGCCACGCGCUACCUGUCCACCUGCCUCCCCUCCCCCCACCCCUGAAGUUGAGAGGUACUUCAAGUUGCAGGUGCUUUCAUAA